GACUGAGAGAGAGAGAGAGGAGCCCAAAACGCAUAAGCGAAUAUAUCCCUUCCUACCUUCUCUCUCCUCCCCCCUAUAAAUAAGCGAUCAACCCUCACCUCUUCCGAAUAAAGCAGACACAGCUCCCUCUUAACACUCUGUUGUCUGCUUCUACUACUCCUACUACUGCUCUCUCUUUCUCUCUCUACGCUAUUAUCUUGUAGGGUUGCCCCCCACUACUCCAAUUCACAGCCAUAUAUAGUAAUAUAUCGUAUCUUUAUAUAUAUAUACAGAGACAGAGAGAGACAGAGAGAGAGAGAGAGAGAGAGAGAUAGAGAGUUUGUGUUUUGGUCACAGUAAUAAGUUAUGGACGCGUACGCCGUUCAUCUAGCGAUGGCGGCUCUAGUCGGAGCCUCUUUUGUGGCCGUCUCGGCCUACUUUAUGCACCGUAAAACCCUAAAUCAGCUCCUCGAGUUCGCGAAGGCGGUGGAAAGGGACAGGGAGAGAGGAGACGACGCCGAGGAGGGCGCCGACUCGCCCCGGUAUUUCAGGAAAUUCGCGGAGAAGCGCGGCGGCCGGGGCCACGGCCGGAGAAAGGCCAACGGCGGUUACCGGCGCGCGUCGGCGUCCUUGCCGGACGUCGUCGGGAUCUCCGGCGGAAACGUUGACGGUGGCGGCGGCGAUGAGAGGCGGUUAAACGGUCCGGUUCACGUCGACGCCAUCCCGGCCGGGUUGCCGAGGCUCCACACGCUUCCCGAAGGGAAAUCUACUGGCCAUGUGAAUUUAACCAAAAGAGCUGGGCAUAGACCAACUUCUCCCAAGUCUCCUGUUGCAAGUGCUAGUGCUUUUGAAAGCAUAGAAGGAUCCGAUGACGAGGAUAACAUUGUUGAUGAUGCUAAACUGAAUACGUUUAUUCAUACUAAUGGAAAUGCUGGUCCAGAGUGUAAAAACCUGUUCCAGGAUUUACCAAACCACAAUAACGCCAAUGGUGAGCAGAUACCUAUAGUUGCAUCAAGCAUGAUCCGUACUCAUAGUGUAUCUGGUGACCUGCAUGGCGUUCAGCCUGACCCUGUAGCGGCAGAUAUUCUCCGAAAGGAGCCAGAGCAUGAAACUUUUGUACGGCUUAAUAUUGCCCCAAAUGAUGAACCGUCACUUGAGGAAGUGGAUGUGUAUAGGACUCUGCAAGCUUGCCUUGAACUGCGACAAAGUUAUGUGUUUAGGGAAGCUAUUACUCCAUGGGAGAAAGAAGUAAUAUCUGAUCCAAGUACCCCGAAGCCUAACCCAAAUCCAUUUGACUACACUCCCGAGGGGAAAUCUGAUCACUAUUUCCAGAUGGAGGAUGGAGUGGUUCAUGUUUAUGCAAAUAAAGAUUCAAAAGAGAAGCUUUUUCCUGUUGCUGAUGCAACAAGAUUUUUCACUGACCUGCAUCAUAUUCUUAAAGUAAUAGCAGCUGGGAAUAUCCGAACAUUAUGCCAUCAUCGGUUGGGUCUUUUGGAACAAAAAUUCAAUCUUCAUUUGAUGCUUAAUGCGGAUAGGGAGUUCCUAGCUCAGAAAAGUGCACCACACCGUGACUUUUACAAUGUUAGGAAAGUUGAUACACAUGUUCAUCACUCUGCAUGCAUGAACCAGAAACAUCUUUUGAGGUUCAUAAAGUCAAAGUUGAGGAAGGAGCCUGAUGAGGUUGUAAUAUUUCGAGAUGGAACGUAUUUAACCUUAAAAGAGGUUUUCGAGAGCCUGGAUCUGACUGGGUAUGACCUGAAUGUUGACCUUUUAGAUGUUCAUGCGGACAAGAGCACCUUUCAUCGUUUUGACAAAUUCAACUUGAAGUAUAAUCCAUGUGGUCAAAGUAGGCUAAGGGAGAUUUUUUUGAAGCAAGAUAACCUUAUCCAGGGUCGUUUCCUUGCUGAGCUGACAAAGCAAGUUUUUUCAGAUCUUGGUGCAAGUAAAUAUCAGAUGGCUGAAUACAGGAUAUCAAUAUAUGGUAGGAAGAUGAGUGAGUGGGAUCAAAUGGCAAGUUGGAUAGUGAAUAAUGAAUUGUACAGUGAGAAUGUUGUUUGGUUGAUUCAGCUUCCACGAUUGUACAAUGUGUACAAGGAAAUGGGAAUUGUGACAUCGUUUCAGAAUAUUCUUGACAAUAUCUUUCUUCCUCUGUUUGAGGUUACUGUUGACCCGAAUUCACACCCGCAGUUGCAUAUUUUCUUGAAACAGGUUGUUGGCCUGGAUUUGGUGGAUGAUGAGAGCAAGCCCGAAAGACGCCCUACAAAACACAUGCCCACGCCUGCUCAAUGGACUAACAUAUUCAAUCCUGCAUUUUCAUACUAUGUGUACUACUGCUACGCUAACCUUUACACUCUAAACAAGCUUCGGGAGUCAAAGGGCAUGACAACUAUUAAAUUCCGUCCACAUUCUGGAGAGGCUGGUGACAUUGACCACCUUGCUGCCACUUUUCUUACGGCUCAUAAUAUUGCACAUGGAAUCAAUUUGAGAAAAUCUCCUGUACUCCAGUAUUUGUACUACCUGGCUCAGAUUGGUCUGGCUAUGUCUCCUCUAAGCAACAACUCAUUGUUUUUAGACUACCAUCGGAAUCCUUUUCCAAUAUUUUUCUUACGGGGCCUCAACGUAUCUCUUUCUACUGAUGAUCCAUUACAAAUCCACUUAACGAAAGAACCUUUGGUGGAAGAGUACAGUAUAGCUGCUUCUGUUUGGAAGUUGAGUUCUUGUGAUCUGUGUGAAAUAGCCCGUAAUUCGGUCUACCAAUCAGGUUUUUCACAUGCUCUCAAGGUACGUUUUCUCUUCCAAUAGGAAUAAAAAAAAAAAGUUUGCCAGAUUCUUUUAGACUCUUCUUUCCAAUCUCUGCUUUCAUCUGGUGCAGGUCUACUCCUGUGCCUCUUGUUUGGGUAGUACAAAAACCAGAAGUUAGUAGUUUGGCAUCAGUAGUUGAACUAUUGCGCUAUGAUUAAAAAAAGCUAAAGAAAAUGUGGAGUUAUAGAGAAGUGCAUGUAUUCUUGCAUGAUAUUUGUUGACCAAAAGAUUCUUUAAGGAAAGCUAACAUUGAUGGACAUUAGAAAGAUAUGUAGUUGGUUACUUAGUUCUAGUUGAGCUGUGUUCUCAACGGAAACCUGGCAUGUUUAAAUAGUCAGGUAUUUCUGGAAAUUAAUGACCCAGUAUUGUCACUGGUAGAUCCUGUCAGUUAUAAUGGAUUUUGCGGGCAUAAUCUCUUGGUCAAUGUAUUUGUGAGUUCUUGAAAUGCUCAAAGGGAAUGUGAUGGGCACCUUGUGUAGGACCUACUAUCACGGACAUAAACCUUCAGGUGAUUAUCAAGAAGUUCAAUACGGGGUUAUAGUCUAUCCCAUUACAGGCAUAAUUAUUCUCAUACUUAUUUUGCUUGUUGGGUGCUCUGUUGAUUACACCCUGCAUUUUGUUUGGGUGGUUGGUUAUACUGUGUGCCGCUUAAUAUAAGAAACCAUAAAUUACAUGACCUAUGAAGCACGGAUACUCUAUUUUGGCCCCCGUAUCACGUUCGUACGCGUAUCGGAUACGGAUACAAUCUGGAUACGUAUCCGAUACGUUUUUUAAAGUAUCCGGUUUUCAAUUUUAUUUUUUGGUGUCCCGAUACGUUUUGGAUACGUUCGGAUAUGUUUCAGACACGGUCGGGGGUAAAUUUGUUAUUACUUAAAACAUAUGGGUUUGAACUGUAAUUAGGGCUAUAUAUAUUUUAUUUCCUCUUACUGACGAUAAAAGGCAUAAACGAAAUGAAAAGAAAAGGCAGAAACGAAAAGGGGGAAGAAAGCGAUCCAUCUCUGUGUCUCAUCUCUCGAUCUGGACUGGUACGCUCUCUUCUCUCUCUCUCUCUCGUCUCUCUCAUCUCUCUCGUCUGUCUCUUCUCUCUCUCUCUCUCUCUCUCUCUCUCCUGUUUCUCUCAUCUCUCUCUUCUCGUCUCUCUCUCUCAUCUGUCUCUUCCCCCCCCCCCUCCCUCUCUCUCAUCUUGCUGUGUAUAUAUGUAUAUACAACGCUGUAGAUAUUAGUGAUUGUUGCCGUCUGAAUUUUUUUUUUUUAUAACAGUACAUUGAAUUUUUUUUUUGACAGUAUAUUGAAUCCAUUCGUGUCUCUUCUCUCAUCUUGCUGUGUAGCAUAUACAUACAUUAUACAUAUAUAUAUACACACACACACACAACGCUGUAUAGAUAUUAGUGACUGUUGUCGUCUGAUUUUUUUUUUUUUAAAACAGUAUAUUGAAUCCAAAUGGAUUCUGCUUCUGCUGGUACUGGUAGUAGCUCUGUUUCCUCAUCCUCACAAAUGAAUGCAGUGGAUACUAGUAAUCCUCUUUGGAGUUAUGUUACAAAAUUAGAGAAAUUGGGUGAUCAAGGGGGAAAUACUUUUUGUAAGGGUUAACUUUAGUCGCCAAUGGAAUAUUAUUUUUAUUUAUUUUUAUAUUCAACGUAUCGUAUCCUACUUUUUGAAAAAAUCCGCGUAUCCACGUAUCCGUAUCCGUGCUACUUAGGGUGAGACUCUCAAUAGUCAAUAUUGUAGAAUUUUCUUUUCGUCUAAUUCUUGUGUUAGCCAACCACAUAUACUUGACAAUACAUUUUGAAGUUGAGAUUAGCAGGUAUGGCUUUUAUUUUAUAAUAAUGCUUGUGUGGUUAGCAACUACAAGGUUAUAGGCGGCAAAGAACAGUAAAGUCAUGCAUUGAUGGCCAUUUUGUCAGUAACUGAUCCAGGUGCUUUGGAUUUGUAUAUUAGCAAUAUCUAAAUUGAUGUUACAGAAA